rnacentral:rRNA from 1 species
UACAGAGGUCUCAAGCGUUGUUCGGAUUCAUUGGGCGUAAAGGGUGCGUAGGCGGCGCGGUAAGUCGGGUGUGAAAGCCCUCGGCUCAACCGAGGAACUGCGCUCAAAACUGCCGUGCUCGAGGGAGACAGAGGUGAGCGGAACUAAGGGUGGAGCGGUGAAAUGCGUUGAUAUCCUUAAGGAACACCGGUGGCGAAAGCGGCUCACUGGGUCUCUUCUGACGCUGAGGCACGAAAGCUAGGGGAGCAACGGG